GCCUACGGGGGGCAGCAGUAGGGAAUUUUCGUCAACGGGCGCAAGCCUGAACGAGCAAUGCCGCGUGAACGAGGAAGGUCUUCGGAUCGUAAAGUUCUGUUGAAGGGGAAAAAGAGCGGAGAGAGGAGAUGGUCUCCGAUUGAUAUUACCCUUCGAGGAAGUCACGGCUAACUACGUGCCAGCAGCCGCGGUAAUACGUAGGUGGCGAGCGUUAUCCGGAAUGAUUGGGCGUAAAGGGUGCGUAGGCGGCCUGCUAAGUCUGGAGUGAAAGGUACCGGCUCAACCGGUACAGGCUCUGGAAACUG
rnacentral:rRNA from 1 species